ensembl:snRNA U6 U6 spliceosomal RNA
GUGCAGCACAAAUACUAAAAUUGGAACAAUACAGAGAAGAUUAGCAAGGCCCCUGCGCAAGGACGACACACAAAUUCGUGAAGUGUUCCAUAUUUUU